UACGGAGGAUCCGAGCGUUAUCCGGAUUUAUUGGGUUUAAAGGGUGCGUAGGCGGGCUUAUAAGUCAGCGGUGAAAGUUUGCGGCUCAACCGUAAAAUUGCCGUUGAUACUGUGAGUCUUGAGUGUAGAUGAGGUGGGUGGAAUUCGUGGUGUAGCGGUGAAAUGCAUAGAUAUCACGAAGAACUCCAAUUGCGUAGGCAGCUCACUGGGCUACAACUGACGCUGAGGCACGAAGGUGCGGGGAUCAAACAGG
rnacentral:rRNA from 1 species